UACAUGGAAUGUUUUAAUGUUCUUUAUAUAAAUGGUUUAAUGUAACUGCCUUGUGUGUGUGUGUGUGUGUGUGUGUGUGUGUGUGUGUGUGUGUGUGUGUGUGUGUGUGUGUGUGUGUGUGUGUGCGCGUAGACCUAUAGCUAUUGCUCUACCUAUUUGUUUAAUGUUUAUUUAUGAAAAUCCAUGGUUAAAAUUAUUUUUGAGUACAGAGGAACAUAAGUAAAACUCUGAGGUUCGUUACAAACCAAACCGUUUGAAAAUCGGUUCAAAAUUAAGCAAUUCCUGGCUAUUUAAAUGCUACAUGCACCGUAGACUGUAAUGUAAUGAGUGGGCGAGCGUCCGAUAGCGAAAUGGCCGCCGGAUGCGGAUGUCGGUCUCCAUUGGCUAACAGCGUGCGUAAUCCAUCUACCGUUUAUAUUUAAAAUUGUG